GCAAAGAUGCCCAGUUAGUGCAGAUUUCCAACCCUUGAUUUUUACAAUCAGUUUGUACAAACAAGAUGCUUAGUCAGGCAAAGCAGUUCCUCGCUCAAGAUUGUUCUUAAUCUCCAGCGUGUAUAUUUGCCAAAAGCUCGUUCAAUCUUCUUAUUGAAAUGCUCAUUACGGUCAUUAAUCGAGUCAAUAUCCUUCUCUUCACGGAACCUCCUCCUUCGACUAAAUGACUUGCGUUUCUCCUCCCGGUCAUUGAGUUCCUUCACCAUCCGGUCAAUCUUGUCCUCAGAUAUCUUGGGUGCCUUUCCAUAUUGAAGACUUGAGGCUUCACGGUAGAACUCAGGAUCAGCUUCUUUCAUUUUGUUAUAUUCUUCUAGAUCAACCUCGAUGUUCUUUGACCGCUUUUUAUGCGCAUUGUAGAGUGUCUUCUGAUUGAAAACAUCCCAACCAAAUGGAGCAGGAUCUUUUUCCCAUUUUUUAUAUUUUGCCUCAGCGGCCUCUUGUGUAUCCAGCAUGUAUGCCUCUUUCAUAUCCAAACCAUUUGCAUCUAAAAGUUUUCCAAUUUUUUUCUUCCUAUCUUCAAGCCAUUUUUGUUUAGAAAUGCCUCUUGAUUCUGGUGCAGCUUCCAUUUUUUUCUUUUCAGCUACCAUUGCUGUUUGAUUGGCUUUUCUAGCCUCAUUCAUCUUAAGCCUCAACUCAAACAAUUUUUUCUGCCUCCCAGUAAGUUGUGUACCAUCUCCUUCCACAUUUUCCUGGACUGGAUGAUUGUCGUCAUCAUCAGACUCUUCUUCAAAAACUGAUCUUUCAUCAUGCUGUACCUCAUCUUGCUCAGAAGCAAGUGUGGUGGACCCAUAAUUUCCACCUUUAUCUUGCACAACUUCUGUUUCUUUCUUACUCAUUUGUGCCAUAGCUUCUGCAAUUUUUCUGAAGCAAUAUUCCACACACUCAUGGUAUGGAUUAGAUGCAUUUAUACAAUCUGGGUGCACUCUCCUUUCUCCAGCCAUCUUCUGCUAAUUUGACCACCUUCUACACUACUGUGAAAGAGAUUGCUUUCUCUAUGAUCUAACGUCUCCCUAGCUUAAAGGGAACGGGAUAAAGGAAAUCAGAGAAUUUGGCUAGGGAUUUUCGAUAUUCCUUUGCAUAUGUUAUCCUUAUACAGAGGCUCCAGA
rnacentral:misc_RNA from 1 species